UGAGUAACACGUAUCCAACCUGCCGUCUACUCUUGGACAGCCUUCUGAAAGGAAGAUUAAUACAAGAUGGCAUCAUGAGUCCGCAUGUUCACAUGAUUAAAGGUAUUCCGGUAGACGAUGGGGAUGCGUUCCAUUAGAUAGUAGGCGGGGUAACGGCCCACCUAGUCUUCGAUGGAUAGGGGUUCUGAGAGGAGGGUCCCCCACAUUGGAACUGAGACACGGUCCAA
rnacentral:rRNA from 1 species